rnacentral:rRNA from 1 species
AUGAAUAUCGCCCUCCUAUCCCGAUGGCUCUGGCGCAUCUCGCAAGGCCACGGUGGCCUCUGGCUCAACAUCAUCAGGAACAAGUACCUGUGUGGACAACCCAUAGCCUUCUGUCAGAGGUCUGGUGGCUCCCAGUUCUGGCAGUCGGUCGUCCAACUUCUCCCCGUCCUCCGCAUCUGGACCUCCAUCUCGGUGGGAUCCGGGGUAGCGACUUUGUUCUGGUUUGACCGGUGGGCCGGAGACACUCCCUUCGCUGCGCGCUUCCCCGACCUCUUCUCCAUCGCUGUCGACCCUUUGAUCUCAGUUGAGAAGGCCCUUAUUGACUUAGGGCGCCUAGCUUUUCGGAGGCCAUUUGGGCCCCCGGAUUCCGCCGCGUGGCGUGAGUUACUGGAUUGCGUCGCUCUCCACGAGCCGGUGGUGGACGGUGGCCCGGACCAGGUGAGAUGGCGCCUCGAGCCUUCAGGCCAAUUCUCCACCAAGUCUCUCUACCAGGCCAUCGCCCCCUCCUCCGCCCCUCCCCCUUACGACGGUGUGGUCCAUGUGGCAAUGGAUCUUCAUGUGGCAAUGGAUUCGUGGUUGGAUCCCGUUUGGGGUCGAGGUUCGCAAGCGUAA